UUAACACAUGCAAGUCGAGGGGCAGCAUGCUGAUAGCUUAGCAUCGAGUGAUGGCGACCGCGCACGGGUGAGUAACGCGUAUCCAACCUGCCUGUCAACUCAGGAAUAGCCCGGUGAAAACCGGAUUAAGUCCUGAUGAUAUCAUUAGAGGGCAUCUGACGAUGAUUAAAGGUUACGGAAACGGAUAGGCUCGCGUGACAUUAGCUAGAUGGUGGGGUAACGGCUCACCAUGGCGACGAUGUCUAGGGGUUCUGAGAGGAAGGUCCCCCACACUGGAACUGAGACACGGUCCAGACUCCUACGGGAGGCAGCAGUGAGGAAUAUUGGGUCAAUGGUCUGACGGACUGAACCAGCCAUGCCGCGUGAAGGUGACGGCCCUAUGGGUCUUAAACUUCUUUUGUAAGGGAGCAAUAAGUCUCACGUGUGGGAUGAUGAGAGUACCUUACGAAUAAGCAUCGGCUAACUCCGUG
rnacentral:rRNA from 1 species